rnacentral:rRNA from 1 species
UUUAUUGGAGAGUUUGAUCCUGGCUCAGGAUGAACGCUGGCGGCGUGCCUAAUACAUGCAAGUCGAGCGAAUGGAUUAAGAGCUUGCUCUUAUGAAGUUAGCGGCGGACGGGUGAGUAACGCGUGGGUAACCUGCCCAUAAGACUGGGAUAACUCCGGGAAACCGGGGCUAAUACCGGAUAACAUUU